CUGAGCACAUAGGUGUAUCUGCACAGACUGUGCAUCCCCAGUGCUGACACAGGCAAGCUGUCCCCACACUGGACAUUAGACAUGCAGAGACAAGUAUGGUGACUGGGCAUGGACACCCCACGGGUGCUAAGGACAGUGCCAUGCAGACAUGUGGGCUGCGAAGCACAGUGACCAGGCGGAGAGGUAUACAUUGGACAGCUAUUCCAGCCGAUGGCUCUACUCAGGGCCUGGAAGCUGCUGCCAAAAUCUCAGGGCACAAUCAUCAGCACAAAGGCCAAGAUGAUGGCCCCACCAGGCAUCUGAGAGGGUGAGGAAGAAGGUAUGCAAGGGGGACUUCCAGCCUACCACAUCCUGAGACGCUGCCUCUGGGCUGAAGCAGAUGGGUCCUGAGUGUGCCAGGCUGGUUCCUGGAGUGUGGAUCUGAAGCCACAUAAUCACUAUCUGCACCCAAAGCCCCUGCUUUGGCUUACAAGGAUACGCUGGACACAGAGACGCCCUCUGGGAGGAGGUGUCAUGUGGUGAGGGGUCUCCACCUACCUCCAGGGCUCAGCCACAGGAUGAGGGCGAAUGUACGAAGGUGGAUCCCUACUGGGACUCUGGAGCCUCAUCUGGGGACAUCCCCCUGGCAUGGGAGCAGGUGCUCAAUCAAGUGGGUAGGUACAGGGGCCUGGGAGACCAUGAGGACUGAUGGGGAUUUUUUUUUUCUUUUCCUUUUUUCAGAG
ensembl:lncRNA